GAAAUCCUGAGAUGUACGGAAAAGUAGCUUAUUAUAUUCAACCUACAUUACAUUUUCGGGAUCUGCAAUAAAUUUAUGGAUAUUGGAUUUCAGUAAUUUAUAAAUAAUAAUUUAUAUUGUUUAUAGCAGAAAAUAAUAAAAGUAAGUUGAGUGGAACCCACCUGCGAGGCGCAGGUUAUGAAUAUAUAAGUGAACGGCAUAUUGGGAUAUUU
rnacentral:other from 1 species